rnacentral:rRNA from 1 species
CCCUUAGAUGUCCUGGGCUGCACGCGCGCUACACUGAUGAGUCCAGUAAGCACCUAACCUCUUCCGAAAGGAACGGGUAACCUUUGCAAAGCACAUCGUGAUGGGGAUAGAUUAUUGCAAUUAUUAGUCUUGAACGAGGAAUUCCUAGUAAGCACAAGUCAUCAGCUUGUGUUGAUUACGUCCCUGCCCUUUGUACACACCGCCCGUCGCUCCUACCGAUUGAAUGUUCCGGUGAGCUCUUCGGACUGCGCGGUCUGCAGUUUCUGCGUUCCGUGCGGAAAGUUGCGCAAACCUUAACAUUUAGAGGAAGGAGAAGUCGUAACA